UAUCUCUGUAGAGUCUGCAUAUCAAUAAGCGGAGGAAAAGAAACUAACUAGGAUUCCCUAGUAACGGCGAGUGAAGCGGGAAGAGCUCAAAUUUGAAAUCUUAAAGGUUUCCCUUGACGAAUUGUAGUUUAAAGAAGUGUUUUCUGUUGGAGUUUUGGUAAAAGUUCUUUGGAAUAGGACAUCAUAGAGGGUGAGAAUCCCGUAUUUGACCAUUACUUUCAACUUUGUGAUACACUUUCAAAGAGUCGGAUUGUUUGGGAAUGCAGUCCAAAAUGGGUGGUAAAUUUCAUCUAAAGCUAAAUACUGGCGAGAGACCGAUAGCGAACAAGUACCGUGAGGGAAAGAUGAAAAGAACUUUGAAAAGAGAGUUAAACAGUACGUGAAAUUGUCAAAAGGGAAGCGUUUGACACCAGUGUUGUUUUUCUGAAAAUCAAUUAAAGAACUGUUUAUGCUAAGCUGUUUAGACUUUAUCAGCUAUCUGUUUAGUUUUGAGCUUUUCUUUAAUGCACUUUUCAGUUAACAAGUCAACAUCAAUUUCUUUUGCUGUAAAAAAGCUUGAGGAAGGUGGCUUGAGAUUCGUCUUAAGUGUUUAUAGCCUCUUGCCUAUGCAGUCGGAGAGAUUGAGGUCUGCAGCGUAGAUCCUUCGGGGCUAAAUGCAUUUGUGCUAAGUUAUAGCAUUUUAUAGACAACUUGUUGACUAUGAUUUGUCUUGUAGCUUACUCGCUUAUGUUAUUUUACCUACGCUUAGGAUGUUGACGAUCAGCUGAGCGCG
rnacentral:rRNA from 1 species